rnacentral:rRNA from 1 species
UACGAGGGGGGCAAGUGUUGUUCGGAACUACUGGGCGUAAAGGGAGCGUAGGCGGGCUCUUAAGUUGGAUGUUUAAAACCGGGGCCUAACCCCGGCGUGGCAUCCAAAACUGGGAGUCUUGAAUGGGACAGAGGCCAGUGGAAUUAGAGGUGUAGCGGUGGAAUGCGUAGAUAUCUCUAAGAACACCAGUUGCGAAGGCGGCUGGCUGGGUCCACAUUGACGCUGAGGAGCGAAAGCGUGGGGAGCGAACAGG